AUUGAACGCUGGCGGCAGGCCUAACACAUGCAAGUCGAGCGGAUGAAGAGGGCUUGCUCUCUGAUUCAGCGGCGGACGGGUGAGUGAUGCCUAGGAAUCUGCCUGGUAGUGGGGGACAACGUUUCGAAAGGAACGCUAAUACCGCAUACGUCCUACGGGAGAAAGUGGGGGAUCUUCGGACCGCACGCUAUCAGAUGAGCCUAGGUAAGAUUAGCUAGUUGGUGAGGUAAAGGCUCACCAAGGGGACGAACGUUAACUGGUCUGAGAGGAUGAUCAGUCACACUGGAACUGAGACACGGUCCAGACUCCUACGGGAGGCAGCAGUGGGGAAUAUUGGACAAUGGGCGAAAGCCUGAUCCAGCCAUGCCGCGUGUGUGAAGAAGGUCUUCGGAUUGUAAAGCACUUUAAGCUGGGAGGAAGGGCAGUAAGUUAAUACCUUGUUGUUUUGACGUUACCGACAGAAUAAGCACCGGCUAACUUCGUGCCAGCAGCCGCCGUAA
rnacentral:rRNA from 1 species